GCCAGGUGUGGUGGCGUGCACCUGUAAUCCCAGGUACUAGGGAGGCUGAGGCAGGAGAAUCGCUUGAACCCAGGAGUUGGAGGUUGCAGUGAGCUGAGAUCACACCACUGCACUCCAGCCUGGGUGACAGAGUGAGACUCCAUCUCAC
rnacentral:SRP_RNA from 1 species